rnacentral:misc_RNA from 1 species
UUUCCGUAGGUGAACCUGCGGAAGGAUCAUUAUUGUAUAACCGAGGUGCGAGGGCUGUCGCUGACCCGAAAGGUCGUGCACGCCCGAGUGCCCUCACACACAUCCAUCUCACCCCUAUGUGCACCACCGCGUGAGUCCCCCUUUGGCUUGUUCGGAGGGGGGCUUACGUUUUCACACAAACUUUGUAUGCAGUGUAGAGUGUAUUUUUUGUUUUUGCGAUCACGCAAUCAAUACAACUUUCAACAACGGAUCUCUUGGCUCUC